CCUACGGGAGGCAGCAGUGGGGAAUAUUGCACAAUGGGGGAAACCCUGAUGCAGCGACGCCGCGUGAGUGAAGAAGUAAUUCGUUACGUAAAGCUCUAUCAGCAGGGAAGAAACACUGACCUUACGGUCAGCAGACGGUACCUGAGUAAGAAGCGCCGGCUAACUACGUGCCAGCAGCCGCGGUAAUACGUAGGGGGCAAGCGUUAUCCGGAUUUACUGGGGGUAAAGGGGGCGUAGACGGCGAGGCAAGUCUGGAGUGAAAGGCCGGGGCGCAAACCCGGGACUGCUUUGGAAACUGCCUGGCUAGAGUGCUGGAGAGGCAAGCGGAAUUCCUAGUGUAGCGGUGAAAUGCGUAGAUAUUAGGAAGAACACCAGUGGCGAAGGCGGCUUGCUGGACAGUAACUGACGUUGAGGCUCGAAAGCGUGGGGAGCAAACAGGAUUAGAUACCCGAGUAGUC
rnacentral:rRNA from 1 species